rnacentral:rRNA from 1 species
AUUGAACGCUGGCGGCAGGCCUAACACAUGCAAGUCGAGCGGAUGAAGGGAGCUUGCUCCUGGAUUCAGCGGCGGACGGGUGAGUAAUGCCUAGGAAUCUGCCUGGUAGUGGGGGAUAACGUCCGGAAACGGGCGCUAAUACCGCAUACGUCCUGAGGGAGAAAGUGGGGGAUCUUCGGACCUCACGCUAUCAGAUGAGCCUAGGUCGGAUUAGCUAGUUGGUGGGGUAAAGGCCUACCAAGGCGACGAUCCGUAACUGGUCUGAGAGGAUGAUCAGUCACAAUGGAACUGAGACACGGUCCAGACCCCUACGGGAGGCAGCAGGGGGGAAUUUUGGAAAAUGGGCGAAAGCCUGAUCCAGCCAUGCCGCGUGUGUGAAGAAGGUCUUCGGAUUGUAAAGCACUUUAAGUUGGGAGGAAGGGCAGUAAGUUAAUACCUUGCUGUUUUGACGUUACCAACAGAAUAAGCACCGGCUAACUUCGUG